AUUGAACGCUGGCGGCAGGCCUAACACAUGCAAGUCGAACGAGUGGCGGACGGGUGAGUAUUGUCUGGGAACCUGCCUGCUGGAGGGGGAUAACUACUGGAAACGGUAGCUAAUACCGCAUACCAUCAGAUGUGCCCAUAUGGGAUUAGCUCGUUGGUGGGGUAACGGCUCACCAAGGCGACGUUCCCUAGCUGGUCUGACAGGAUGACGAGCCACAAUGGAACUGAGACACGGUCCAGACUCCUACGGGAGGCAGCAGUGGGGAAUAUUGCACAAUGGGCGCAAGCCUGAUGCAGCCAUGCCGCGUGUAUGAAGAAGGCCUUCGGGGUGUAAAGUACUUUCAGCGGGGAGGCGUUACCCGCAGAAGAAGCACCGGCUAACUCCGUGCCAGCAGCCGCGGUAAUAC
rnacentral:rRNA from 1 species